AUGAAGAACUUGAGAGAUCCAAAAACCAAGAUCUAUCCCUCAACAACGCGGGGAGGUAAGGAACUGCCAUCUAGCUCUGCACUUGAUUCACCUUCUGUUAUGAGUAAGUUUGUGACACCUACACCUGCUUCUGCUAUUCGUUCUGAUAUGUCGCAUGUUAUUGAUGAUGCCACUUCUGCUAUGCAUGAUACUUAUGAUGAAAAUGCUUCUAUGCCUGAUACUACUGUGCCCCUUGGUGAAUUUCUUGAUGAACAAAUUGCUAGGGCUAGAGAAAAAGAAAUUAUUGAAUCUGAAUACGACGAUGAUAAUGAUGAUGAAAAUAUGCCUAUUAUUCCUAAGGGCUAUCUUUUUGAUAUGGAAUCUUCUGCCGCUAUUUUAGCUUGCAAAGAUAGAUAUGAGCUUAAGAGGUUAUUAAUUAAAUGGAACAAAGAAUCACUUAGAGAUAAAAUGAAACCCGACCCUGCUUUUGCUACUUCACCUAUUUGUGUCCCUGAUAAGGAUUAUGAAUUCUCUGUUGAUCCUAAUAUAAUUACUUUGGUUGAAUCUGAUCCGUUUUAUGGCUAUGAAUCUGAAACUAUUGUGGCACAUCUUACUAAGUUAAAUGAUAUAGCUGCCCUGUUCACUAAUGAUGAGAGAUCGCUUUACUUCUAUAUACUCAAAAUAUUUCCGUUCUCAUUAAAGGGUGAUGCUAAGAUAUGGUUUAAUUCUCUUGAUCCUGGUUGUGUGCAUAGUCCCCAGGAUAUGAUUUAUUACUUCUCUGCUAAAUAUUUCCCUGCUCAUAAGAAACAAGCUGCUUUGAGGGAAAUAUACAACUUCGUGCAAAUUAAAGAAGAGAGUCUCCCACAAGCUUGGGGAGGCUUCUCAAGUUACUUAAUGCUUUGCCUGAUCAUCCUCUUAAGAAACCUGAAAUACUUGAUAUCUUUUAUAAUGGACUAA
rnacentral:rRNA from 1 species